rnacentral:rRNA from 1 species
GACGAACGCUGGCGGCGUGCUUAACACAUGCAAGUCGAACGGAAAGGCCCUGCUUUUGUGGGGUGCUCGAGUGGCGAACGGGUGAGUAACACGUGAGUAACCUGCCCUUGACUUUGGGAUAACUUCAGGAAACUGGGGCUAAUACCGGAUAGGAGCUCCUGCUGCAUGGUGGGGGUUGGAAAGUUUCGGCGGUUGGGGAUGGACUCGCGGCUUAUCAGCUUGUUGGUGGGGUAGUGGCUUACCAAGGCUUUGACGGGUAGCCGGCCUGAGAGGGUGACCGGCCACAUUGGGACUGAGAUACGGCCCAGACUCCUACGGGAGGCAGCAGUGGGGAAUAUUGCACAAUGGGCGGAAGCCUGAUGCAGCAACGCCGCGUGCGGGAUGACGGCCUUCGGGUUGUAAACCGCUUUCGCCUGUGACGAAGCGUGAGUGACGGUAAUGGGUAAAGAAGCACCGGCUAACUACGUGCCAGCAGCCGCGGUGAUACGUAGGGUGCGAGCGUUGUCCGGAUUUAUUGGGCGUAAAGGGCUCGUAGGUGGUUGAUCGCGUCGGAAGUGUAAUCUUGGGGCUUAACCCUGAGCGUGCUUUCGAUACGGGUUGACUUGAGGAAGGUAGGGGAGAAUGGAAUUCCUGGUGGAGCGGUGGAAUGCGCAGAUAUCAGGAGGAACACCAGUGGCGAAGGCGGUUCUCUGGGCCUUUCCUGACGCUGAGGAGCGAAAGCGUGGGGAGCGAACAGGCUUAGAUACCCUGGUAGUCCACGCUGUAAACGGUGGGUACUAGGUGUGGGGUCCAUUCCACGGGUUCCGUGCCGUAGCUAACGCUUUAAGUACCCCGCCUGGGGAGUACGGCCGCAAGGCUAAAACUCAAAGGAAUUGACGGGGCCCCGCACAAGCGGCGGAGCAUGCGGAUUAAUUCGAUGCAACGCGUAGAACCUUACCUGGGUUUGACAUGGAUCGGGAGCGCUCAGAGAUGGGUGUGCCUCCUUUGGGGUCGGUUCACAGGUGGUGCAUGGCUGUCGUCAGCUCGUGUCGUGAGAUGUUGGGUUAAGUCCCGCAACGAGCGCAACCCUUGUUCACUGUUGCCAGCACGUUAUGGUGGGGACUCAGUGGAGACCGCCGGGGUCAACUCGGAGGAGGGUGGGGAUGACGUCGAGUCACCAUGCCCCUUAUGUCCAGGGCUUCACGCAUGCUACAAUGGCUGGUACAGAGAGUGGCGAGCCUGUGAGGGUGAGCGAAUCUCGGAAAGCCGGUCUCAGUUCGGAUUGGGGUCUGCAACUCGACCUCAUGAAGUCGGAGUCGCUAGUAAUCGCAGAUCAGCAACGCUGCGGUGAAUACGUUCCCGGGGCU